GACGAACGCUGGCGGCGUGCUUAACACAUGCAAGUCGAACGAGUGGCGAAAGGGUGAGUAACACGUGAGUAACCUGCCCCUUCUUCUGGAUAACUGCUUGAAAGGGUAGCUAAUACGGGAUAGUGGGGGAUGGGCUCGCGGCCUAUCCGCUUGUUGGUGGGGUGUUGGCCUACCAAGGCGGGGACGGGUAGCCGGCCGGAGAGGGUGGCCGGCCAGACGGGGCCAGAGGCACGGCCCAGAUUCGUACGGGAGGCGUCAGGGGGGAAUAGUGCAGAAGGGGCGCAAGCCUGAUGCAGCGACGCCGCGUGAGGGAUGGAGGCCGUCGGGUUGUAAACCUCUUUCGCCAGUGAAGCGGUAGCUGGAUAAGAAGCGCCGGCUAACUACGUGCCAGCAGCCGCGGUAAUUC
rnacentral:rRNA from 1 species